rnacentral:rRNA from 1 species
AACAGCAGCAAUAUCACUCUGCAACUCACAACUCACAACUGGCAACCCACUGAAGCUAAGCAGGUGUGAGCCUGGUUAAUACCUGGAUGGGAGACCUCCUGGGAAAAACUAAGGUUGCUGCUGGAA